CUCGGGUCGAAAGCACCCCAAUAAAUUGAUACGACUCGAAUCGAAAGCAGGCAAUAACUUGACACGACUCCAGUCGAAAGCAGCCCAAUAACUUAACUUGUCGAAAGCACCCUAAUGGCAGCAGCCCAAUAACUUGACACGACUCCAGUCGAAAGCAGCCCAAUAACUUAACUUGACUUCAGUCGAAAGCAUCCCAAUAACUUGAUACGACUUGAGUCGAAAGCACCGCAAUAACUUGAGUCGAAAGCACCCUAAUGGCUAAUAACUUGAACUUUCUUAUAUUUUUGGCAGUGAGCAUGCACUCAAGAUUGUGCGCCAUUAACACAUAUUCAGAUUCAAUAAAGAAGAGCAAUCACUGUCUGAGAUUAUAUAUGUAAUAUGAGACACAGCCUACAAAAACCGGUUUGACUGGGUUAAAUAAAACUGAAUUCGUCGUAUUAUUU